rnacentral:rRNA from 1 species
AGUCGAACGGUGAAGAGGAGCUUGCUCCUUGGAUCAGUGGCGAACGGGUGAGUAACACGUGAGCAAUCUGCCCUUGACUCUGGGAUAACUGCGGGAAACUGUAGCUAAUACCGGAUAUUACCUUGGAAGGCAUCUUCUGGGGUGGAAAGAAUUUUGGUCAAGGAUGAGCUCGCGGCCUAUCAGCUAGUUGGUGAGGUAAUGGCUCACCAAGGCGACGACGGGUAGCCGGCCUGAGAGGGUGACCGGCCACACUGGGACUGAGACACGGCCCAGACUCCUACGGGAGGCAGCAGUGGGGAAUAUUGCACAAUGGGCGCAAGCCUGAUGCAGCAACGCCGCGUGAGGGACGAMGGCCUUCGGGUUGUAAACCUCUUUUAGUAGGGAAGAAGCGACUGGGUUUUCCUGGAAGUGACGGUACCUGCAGAAAAAGCACCGGCUAACUACGUGCCAGCAGCCGCGGUAAUACGUAGGGUGCAAGCGUUGUCCGGAAUUAUUGGGCGUAAAGAGCUCGUAGGCGGUUUGUCGCGUCUGCUGUGAAAACCCGAGGCUCAACCUCGGGCCUGCAGUGGGUACGGGCAGACUAGAGUGCGGUAGGGGAGAUUGGAAUUCCUGGUGUAGCGGUGGAAUGCGCAGAUAUCAGGAGGAACACCAAUGGCGAAGGCAGAUCUCUGGGCCGUAACUGACGCUGAGGAGCGAAAGCAUGGGGAGCGAACAGGAUUAGAUACCCUGGUAGUCCAUGCCGUAAACGUUGGGAACUAGAUGUGGGGACCAUUCCACGGUCUCCGUGUCGCAGCUAACGCAUUAAGUUCCCCGCCUGGGGAGUACGGCCGCAAGGCUAAAACUCAAAGGAAUUGACGGGGGGCCCGCACAAGCGGCGGAGCAUGCGGAUUAAUUCGAUGC